UAGAAAAAUAUCUUAAAGGAUUAGCUAAUUCUAAUUUAGUUUUAUCUUCGACAAUUGUCUUACACAACGCCAUAUGGCGUUUAAGUGCCUCGUAACAUUUUGUAAUCAAAUUGCAUCCAUCUUUUAAAUGACAGGCAAAAUUGAAAUCGGGACUUUCAUUUGUAUGAGUCUAUUGAGGAAGCAAUUUUUGGAAACAAGCUGCUUUGGGAC